AAUGACAACACUAUUGCAGAGGUUUUAGCUAAUAGUUAAAGUGGAUUUAAUACACAAGGGGUGUCUGUUAACGCUCUCUAGAACCUCAAAAAUAUGAUUAUAAUGAAGUCUGUUUAUUUUAUUGGAGUACUUUGGUGCCACUCCCUCAGCAUUCAUCUACAGCUCGUGUGCUGCUCUCUGAUGAUGAGAUGGUGCUGGCCCGUCCUGCACUCUCCAGCUGAGAUCCAGAAGAGGAUGUGAUGGACCACAAAAGACAGCUUUUGUGACAUCCACUGGCUUCUGCAAACACCAUGCUAAUCUGACCACAGAACGUGUAGCACAGCACCAGCGUAAUUUGAUUCGCAGCACAUUGUGCUUACACGCUCCAAAUCUGCCUUAUGCCUGUGAUAUCGAAGCACCUCCGCGUUUGCUGGAGCCCCACCAAAUGAACGCGGGAAAGGAAAAAAACCUGAACCAGACGAUGGACAGUGGGGGCCAAAUGAAAGCUCUCAGAAUCACUGUACAUACCCAUCGGUCAAACAGUCCAUUUCUGCCCUGACGUCGCUAUGGUCUGUCAGUCUCUGCUUGGCAUAGGAGGAAGUUGGAAUAAUCUGUGGAAACAAAUAUAUAUCAUAUCCUGUGCAAUUUUUAAAUCCCCAUGAAGGUCAAAAUAAAUAAAUAAAUAAA